rnacentral:rRNA from 1 species
UGUGGUAGGGGCAGAGGGAAUUCCCGGUGUAGCGGUGAAAUGCGUAGAUAUCGGGAAGAACACCAGUGGCGAAGGCGCUCUGCUGGGCCAUAACUGACGCUCAUGGACGAAAGCCAGGGGAGCGAAAGGGAUUAGAUACCCCUGUAGUCCUGGCCGUAAACGAUGAACACUAGGUGUCGGGGGAAUCGACCCCCUCGGUGUCGUAGCCAACGCGUUAAGUGUUCCGCCUGGGGAGUACGCACGCAAGUGUGAAACUCAAAGGAAUUGACGGGGGCCCGCACAAGCGGUGGAGUAUGUGGUUUAAUUCGAUGCAACGCGAAGAACCUUACCAGGGUUUGACAUCCUGCGAAUCUCUUGGAAACGAGAGAGUGCCUUCGGGAACGCAGUGACAGGUGGUGCAUGGCUGUCGUCAGCUCGUGUCGUGAGAUGUUGGGUUAAGUCCCGCAACGAGCGCAACCCACGUCGUUAGUUGCCAGCAUUUAGUUGGGCACUCUAGCGAGACCGCCGGUGAUAAACCGGAGGAAGGUGUGGAUGACGUCAAGUCAUCAUGCCCCUUACAUCCUGGGCUACACACGUACUACAAUGCUACGGACAAAGGGCAGCAAACUCGCGAGAGCUAGCAAAUCCCAUAAACCGUGGCUCAGUUCAGAUCGUAGGCUGCAACUCGCCUACGUGAAGGAGGAAUCGCUAGUAAUCGCAGGUCGGCAUACUGCGGUGAAUACGUUCCCGGGCCUUGUACACACGGCCCGUC